ensembl:lncRNA
AUGCCAAACAGUGGUUACUCUGUCAGCUAGUAAUUGCCUUUAGGGCAGCUGUCACUCUCAAAGCAGAGGACAGGUUCCUCCAGUUGCCCUCUGGUGAAUCCCCACUCCUAUUGAUGCCAAUGGUGGGUGGAACGUUGACCAGAUAGGCAAUUGGGUUCCUUUCAGAGACCAAUCUCUGAUUGCGUGGAACUAGCAGAAACAGGUGACAACUGAGGGGUCAUGGCCAGGGCUACUCUUUGGCAGAUACCCAAAGGUCCCUCAGAAGAAACUAGCUCCCAACAACCCCUCUGGGUAAUUGGCAGAAAAUCUCAUUUUGUCCCUAUCUGGACUCCUCAGUGAGGUGAAAGGGGAACUCUGUCAGUGAUCAUCAGAUGUCCUCUAUCUCAGAGUGAUCUGAAACGAUGCCAUCAGAGCCCCUUCUUAAACCUUGGUUAAGAGUUGAGCUACAGAUUUGGACUGCUUUCUCUACUACUAGUAAGACCUCUAGACAAAUGUAGAAAAUGAAUCUUUGAUAGAUUAAAAACUACCUGAACCUUCUAUCCCCCUCCUAGGCAUGGUCUUCAUUAUUUAUGUGUGUAGGGACAAAAAUGCCUUUUCCAAUAGGUUAUGGACUUUGGAACAUUGACUGUGGACUUAUAAAAUGGUAUAGGGUGAUUUUUUUUGAUGUUUAAACAGCUUGAACUUUAUUUGAACUUUUUCCUCCCUGCUAGUGUGUUAAAAACUCCACUUAAACUUUCCUCCAACUUGUUGGAAGUUCAUUUCAGAAUCCCUAGUAGUCAGACCUCUCCUCCUUCCAGAAAGUCAGACUAAGGCAACUCACAACAACUGUUUUGUUUUACACUAGGGAAAAUAACAAUCAGUAACUUGCAUUUGUGUUUUUACAUGCUAACUAGAAUAUGGGACUAUUUUAGCCAGGCUUUCUCUUCAUUCAUGCAUGCAUAGGAAGUCGAUAAGAGUGCCUUUACUAUGUAGAUUGUGGCCUCUAGGAGAACCUAUGCAUUUCAAAUACUUAGUGAAUUUAAAAUGGACCCUAAAGGAGUAGCCUUGUCUUGCUUCUAAUAAAAGUUGCCUAAAUGACUGGAUGGACAACAGAAAUGUCUCAGAGCUUUCUCUGCCCUAGGGCCCAGGGGAGAAUCUCUGACUUACCAUCUCUGGAGGUGAUCUCUUUUGCAGGAAAAGUGCCCCAAUUUGACUGUUGACCUAUUUUCCUCUCUCUCUGUCAAGGAACUAGAAAAUAGUGGUUUAAAUUUCUUGGUUUUCUAGCAAUACUUCCUUCUCUAAACAUGAUUGUUAUGGCUGAAGUCAAUUGUAACUUGUGCUUUAAGAGUACCUACUGGAGUAAGGAUAUGACUUACCUGGGAAGAUAAGAUCGAGCGCUGGUAAAGGGUAAAUAGUCCAGUCCAGUUUUAUUUUCUGGUUCUCUCUUCAGAUGGUAGCUACCUACCCUGGAGUGGUAAAAACCAUGGGGGACGCCCUGGGGACGCCCUAGGGGGCACAGGAAUCAAGCAGAGACUUAUGGGACGCCAUAUUUGUUUCUCUUGUUUCAGACUGGGAACUCCAUAUCUGAACCUCCUACUCUUUUGGAAUGUUUUCAGGAGCAAUUUAUUAUUUUUCUACACCCGAGGAUGGUGUGCCUAUCUCCUAAAGCCAAGUACACAGAGGAAAGUAGUAUGAUGCUAUCUCACAAUUAGAAUUAUACUUUAAGAAAAAAAAUGGUCAAAUCAUCUUAUGUUGAGAUUUUCUUUACAUUAAGAAGUAAUUCUUGCUUGUGUUCAAAUGUAAAUGUGGGACACAGAAAAAUGAGAGACACCUCACCCUUAAGACAUUCAGUACCUCUAAGCCUGAGGCUACUCCUUGCCCUUUAGAACUUGAGAACAAAGUUUACAAGACCACUGUAACCCUUGACCACCAGGUGCUGAGGGUGGAGUUUCUAGGCCAGCCAUAAUUAAAACCUCCCUGAGGCUAUAUCCAUCCUUAGCUAAGUAAUUGAGGUCCCUCAAGACAGUAUCCCUUGCAGUAAGUAAAAGGCAAAUAUGGGACUACCUGAGUUCACGUGUCUUUCUCUCAGUGAGCUAAGACAGGUCAAAUGAGACCUAAGAAUAAGUUUUCAGAUGACCCUGAUAUGAACACUGAGGUCUUUAGAGGACUUACUCAGACCUAUGAACUAGAUUAGAAAGAUGUAAUGUUGCUCUUAAAUCAAAUAUUGAUUUCUAAUGAGAGACAAGUAUUAUUACAAGCUGCUACUACAUGUAGAGACAAAUAUUAUCUUAAUUUUGGAAACUCAAAAGACAGGCAGCCAGGGGAACAAUUGGUUCCUACUGGAACACAAACAGUUCCUAUACAAGGCCCCACUGGCCUGCCAAUCAGAUAGGACGUUAAACAGACAUUUUCAGGCAUGUAUUCUUGAAGGUCUAAGAAACAUGAGAGAAGUAAACCCUUCAGUUAAUUUAAAUUGUCAACUAUUUAUCAGGAAAAAAGAUGAGAACAUCCCUGGAUCCUGAUUUGAUAGAAGGAAAUACUAUAGUUUUUCCAAGUCAGUCUUGCAAUAUGUAGAUGGUAUGCUGUUAUGUGCCCCCUCAGAAGAGCUUUCUAGCCAAGACAUCUGUUCUGCUGAAUUUUCUAACAGACAGGGAUUAUAAUGUUUCUAGAUCUAAGGCACAACUUUGCAGCCUUGAGGUAAAAUAUUUGGGCCUUAUUAUAUCUGAGGGAACCCACAGACUGGGGGAAGAAAGAACUAAACCAAUUCUUUCCUUUUCACAACCCAAAGACUCUAAAACAGCUAAGGAGAUUCCUAGAAAUUACAGGCUUUUGUGGCCUUCAGAUAGUAGGAUAUAGUAAGAUUGUGUGACCCCUCUAUUAGCUUAUAGAAAAACCCAAGAGACAGAUACCUGGGAACUUUAUUCCCAGACCACACUCUAGAAGUUCAAACAAGCACUUCUAAGUGCCUGCCACAGGACACCAUUUCAGUUUAUAUGUUAAUAAAAGCCCCUGAGAAACAACAUAGUUUGAUUCAAGGCACUUCCCUCCUCUGUGGCUGCUGGAUUUCAAGACAAGGCUUCCAGAAUGAAAUCGCUGUAAACAUUUCUGCAUCGAUUCAAGAGAUUGAUGCAGCCAUGACAGCACAACUAAAGACACUCGGGAAAGAGGACUCCAGAGCCACUUCAGAAAGUGGUGAGAAUGAUUGGAUGGGUGUGUUUGAAGUGCGAGGGAGGAUUUUAAGGGAGAUUCACUGCAAUGUGUCUUUUCCUGUAAGAAAGUUUUGAAGAUUUCAACAUUCACUGUGUAUUUCGACCACGCCGCUCCUGUCGAGGUCCGAUUACCACGGCAGCCAGCCCCGUGGAGCCCCGGACAGCUUCUUCCUCUCCGGGUGACAGCCAGACUCUGUGCUGUGCUGAAUGCCCUGUGAUUUCUCCUUCUUGCCCCCUCAACCCCUUUGCUGUUUCAGCCGCGGACCCCAGAGCCUCUGUCACCUGGGCUCUCAUCCUCGCCGCCCUCCUCACUAGCGUGGAUGAAGAACUUAACUUCCCGCGCCUCCAUUUCCUGCUCAGAGAAAGGUGGUCCUCGUCCGGGGCUGUGGACGAGCCCAGACUGCCCUCCUCUGUGAAGCUUAGCUUGCUGUGCUCUCAGCGACGCGGGCCAGAGACACGGGACUCCCUGUGCAGACAGCAACUGCACACUCACAGCGGCUCACAGCAGCCCAGGCCUGAGGGGCUCUCUGGUCUCGGGCCUGGCGAUGCAGCCCGGCCGACCCUGCAUGCCAGGGCUCUGAGCCAGGACCAGACUUUCUGAAGGGCUUGGAGCAAAUCUGCAUGAACUCUGGCCCAGUCGGAAACGUUAUUUCUGUCAUAAUGGACAGUAAAGAUCCGCCCUCUUCUAGGAGAGACACAUCUAUCUGUGGAGGCUGUUUGCCCUGCUGACAUCUUUGAGAGUUCAGAAGAAAUCUGUCAAUGCCUUUGCUCAUAUACUGUGUACAAGUCCAAGAGACCCUGAAGAAGACAUCUGCCCCAUGCUGCCUUCGUGGCUCAUUGUGAGGACGAAAUUAGCUCCUCCCUAGGAGGCAGAGAGUACUCAUGUGCAACCCUCAGCCAAUGGUCCGGAUCACUGUGCAUCCUCUUGUGUCCACUUUUUCAGGCUAGCGGUGUGAAGAGCUUUCACUCACACAGAAUCCCAUGCUUGCCUUGCCUCUGGGCCUUCAUGUUGCCCUGUGUCUGGACAUGUGACUCCCUGCACCUCUCUGCCGGAGGCUCUGCCUGUAGGUUUGGUCCUGGCCUGCAGGCUUAGAUGCCCUGCAUGGUGCUCAUGCAGGCUGCUGCCUCCACCUUGCUCCUUGAUGACUCUUAGCAACUGUCUGGUGAUGUGCUCAGUGUCUCAAAUGGCCCUGGAGUGGAAGCUCGGGGUCUUACAGGAAUACGGAGCCACACAAAGUGGCUCUGGUAGCUGAAAGAUGGGAGAGUUCAUUGGGAGGCUCCUGGGUUGUCUCAGACUCACAGCUGGAGCUGGAAAUCAGGAACAGGGCAGACAGGGGACUCAGCUUCAGGGACCUCUGCAGCGAGGUCUACAGGUCCAGCUCCCAUACUCACCUUUUAUAAACUCCGAAGACCAGACGAGCCCUCGGAGCCCUCUGGGUUAGGUGACCCCUGGACGACUCAGCCACAGUCGGAGGAGGGAGCUGCACAGGGCAGAUGGGCCGCGAGUGACUCUUCUGAGUGUGGGCAGCACGCUGAGACCAUCACCCUAGGACUGUCUGUCCCUGGGAGCUCCUCCACUGCACCGUAUUCAUGGCUGCAGACUUGGCUCCUCCACACCGCUCUGUUCCACAUUGUUGCCUGCCUAUUCUAGCACGGUAUUAAAUUCUGUCUCUGGGCUUCAAACUCGCCCUUCUGUGCUCUGCUGUGUGACCGUGGGGCUGGGACCCCGCCCCACAUUCCUGCGUGGCUACCUGCACAGGCUGCGGCACACUUGGGGAGCCCGGCGGGGGAGGGGAGAGGAUCUUGCUCCUGGCUGUCUGCUUCCUGUCUGCUUCCUGUCAGCUUCCUAUCUGCUGGAGUCUCCUUCCUUUCUUCUCCCCCUCCUCAUCCCCGUGGAAGCCCUGAAUCCGGUUUGGAAUCUCCCAGAGCUGAGAACUGGUCGCACUCACCUGCCGAGAGACGCUAGCACGCAAGCGGGGCCCUUCCAGAGUGUGGGUCCCGUCCAGUGCUCUCCUUGGGGCCCAGGGACACCAGUGCAGGCUGCACAUCCUCGGGUCCUCAGUGUGUCUGGAACUCCUGAUCAUGGACAACUCAGUACAUUUCCAGCCUUUCUGGAGACAAACCAGCAUGGCGAGGCAGCCUGGGGACGUGAAGGACUGAUUGCCAGGACGCUGGAUGACAGAGGCGCACGGAGAAUGCACCCUGAACUUCACACUCUGUUUCCAUACAGUAGUCAAUCAAAACGCCCUAGAGAAUAGCUCAGAUGGCAGCCUUUGGCCAUUGGUCAAUCGUAAACCUUUGGAAAUUGGAAUUGAAAGAAAAUUCCCAGUCCACUGAGUGGAUUUAGAAAUUGCUCCGGCCACUUGCUUCUCAUAAGACUUUACUAAGUGUCUACAAAUUAGCAUCAUAAAAAUGAAUCAAAAAGACAAAAACAUUUGGCUUAAAAUAAAUACUAAAAAUGAAAUAAAUCAAGCAAAUUAUGCAAACCAAAGGAAUGUAAACACAAAAAUAAAACCACAAUCUUUAAAGGUCUUCAGAGC